CUCUGUGACUCCUACGGGAGGCAGCAGUGAGGGAUAUUGGUCAAUGGAGGGAACUCUGAACCAGCCAUCCCGCGUGUAGGAAGACGGCCUUAUGGGUUGUAAACUACUUUUAUACAGGAAGAAACGUACCCUCGUGAGGGUGCCUGACGGUACUGUAGGAAUAAGCACCGGCUAACUCCGUGCCAGCAGCCGCGGUAAUACGGAGGGUGCGAGCGUUAUCCGGAUUUAUUGGGUUUAAAGGGUCCGUAGGCGGAUUAAUAAGUCAGUGGUGAAAUCCCAUCGCUUAACGAUGGAACUGCCAUUGAUACUGUUAGUCUUGAAUGAGGGUGCAGUGGUUGGAAUGUGUAGUGUAGCGGUGAAAUGCAUAGAUAUUACACAGAACACCGAUUGCGAAGGCAGAUCACUAACCCUAAAUUGACGCUGAGGGACGAAAGCGUGGGGAGCGAACAGGAUUAGAUACCCUGGUAG
rnacentral:rRNA from 1 species